CCUACGGGAGGCAGCAGUGGGGAAUAUUGGACAAUGGGGGCAACCCUGAUCCAGCAAUUCUGUGUGCACGAAGAAGGUUUUCGGAUCGUAAAGUGCUUUCAGCAGGGAGGAAGAAAGUGACUGUACCUGCAGAAGAAGCGACGGCUAAAUACGUGCCAGCAGCCGCGGUAAUACGUAUGUCGCGAGCGUUAUCCGGAAUUAUUGGGCAUAAAGGGCAUCUAGGCGGCCAGAUAAGUCCGAGGUGAAAACUGCCGGCUCAACCAGCAGCUUGCCUUGGAAACUACCUGGCUAGAGUAUUGGAGAGGUGGACGGAACUACACGAGUAGAGGUGAAAUUCGUAGAUAUGUGUAGGAAUGCCGAUGAUGAAGAUAGUUCACUGGACGAUAACUGACGCUGAAGUGCGAAAGCUAGGGGAGCGAACAGGAUUAGAUACCCGGGUAGUC
rnacentral:rRNA from 1 species